rnacentral:rRNA from 1 species
UACAGAGACUGCAAGCGUUAUUCGGAUUCACUGGGCGUAAAGGGUGCGCAGGCGGUCGGGUGUGUCAGAUGUGAAAUCCCGAGGCUCAACCUCGGAACUGCGUCUGAAACUACUCGACUAGAGUACUGGAGAGGGAAACGGAAUUCACGGUGUAGCAGUGAAAUUCGUAGAUAUCGGGAGGAACACCAGUGGCGAAGGCGGCGACCUGGACGGACACUGACGCUGAGACGCGAAAGCGUGGGGAGCAAACAGG